rnacentral:rRNA from 1 species
GAUGAACGCUGGCGGCGUGCCUAAUACAUGCAAGUCGAGCGAACAGACGAGGAGCUUGCUCCUCUGACGUUAGCGGCGGACGGGUGAGUAACACGUGGAUAACCUACCUAUAAGACUGGGAUAACUUCGGGAAACCGGAGCUAAUACCGGAUAAUAUAUUGAACCGCAUGGUUCAAUAGUGAAAGACGGUUUUGCUGUCACUUAUAGAUGGAUCCGCGCCGCAUUAGCUAGUUGGGAAGGUAACGGCUUACCAAGGCAACGAUGCGUAGCCGACCGGAGAGGGCGAUCGGCCACACUGGAACUGAAACACGGUCCAGACUCCUACGGGAGGCAGCAGUAGGGAAUCUUCCGCAAUGGGCGAAAGCCUGACGGAGCAACGCCGCGUGAGUGAUGAAGGUCUUCGGAUCGUAAAACUCUGUUAUUAGGGAAGAACAAAUGUGUAAGUAACUAUGCACGUCUUGACGGUACCUAAUCAGAAAGCCACGGCUAACUACGUG